rnacentral:tRNA from 1 species
GCUGUCGUAGCUCAGGUGGCAGAGCACCCGCCUUGUAUGCGGGAGGGCGUCCGUUCGAAGCGUGACCGGCAGCA